AUUGAACGCUGGCGGCAUGCCUUACACAUGCAAGUCGAACGGUAGCAGGUCUUUCGGGAUGCUGACGAGUGGCGAACGGGUGAGUAAGACAUCGGAACGUACCUGACUGUGGGGGAUGACGGGUCGAAAGACUCGCUAAUACCGCAUAAUCUCUGGGGAGGAAAGCAGGGGACCUGAGAGGGCCUUGCGCAGAUGGAGCGGCCGAUGGCAGAUUAGGUAGUUGGUGGGAUAAAAGCUUACCAAGCCAACGAUCUGUAGCUGGUCUGAGAGGAUGAUCAGCCACACUGGGACUGAGACACGGCCCAGACUCCUACGGGAGGCAGCAGUGGGGAAUUUUGGACAAUGGGCGCAAGCCUGAUCCAGCCAUGCCGCGUGCAGGACGAAGGCCUUCGGGUUGUAAACUGCUUUUNUACGGAACGAAAGGGUCUCUACUAAUACUGGGGAUUAUG
rnacentral:rRNA from 1 species